UGGGGAAUAUUGCACAAUGGGCGAAAGCCUGAUGCAGCAACGCCGCGUGAGUGAUGAAGGCCUUCGGGUUGUAAAGCUCUGUCUUCUGGGACGAUAAUGACGGUACCAGAGGAGGAAGCCACGGCUAACUACGUGCCAGCAGCCGCGGUAAUACGUAGGUGGCAAGCGUUGUCCGGAUUUACUGGGCGUAAAGGAUGCGUAGGCGGAUACUUAAGUCAGAUGUGAAAAUCCCGGGCUUAACUUGGGAACUGCAUUUGAAACUGGGUAUCUAGAGUGCGGGAGAGGACAGUGGAAUUCCUAGUGUAGCGGUGAAAUGCGUAGAGAUUAGGAAGAACACCAGUGGCGAAGGCGACUUUCUGGACUGUAACUGACGCUGAGGCAUGAAAGCGUGGGGAGCAAACA
rnacentral:rRNA from 1 species